CGAUCCUACGGGACGCAGCAGUCGAAAAUCAUUCACAAUGGGGGAAACCCUGAUGGUGCGACGCCGCGUGGGGGAAUGAAGGUCUUCGGAUUGUAAACCCCUGUCAUGUGGGAGCAAAUUAAAAAGAUAGUACCACAAGAGGAAGAGACGGCUAACUCUAUGCCAGCAGCCGCGGUAAUACAGAGGUCUCAAGCGUUGUUCGGAAUCACUGGGCGUAAAGCGUGCGUAGGCUGUUUCGUAAGUCGUGUGUGAAAGGCGCGGGCUCAACCCGCGGACGGCCCAUGAUACUGCGUGACUAGAGGAAU
rnacentral:rRNA from 1 species